rnacentral:tRNA from 1 species
UAGCUUGGUUGGCAGAGCAUGAGACUCACAAUCUCAGGGCAGUGGGUUCGUGUCCCAC